CUGUAUUGAGAUAGAAAACUUGGGAGAAAUUGUGGAAACAUAAUCUCACCUUUCGUGAAAUGGUAUUCAUGUUUGAAUUUGACAAAUACAUUUACACAUGUGCAUUUUACUAUACAAAACAUAUAGUCAACAGUUUGGCGAACAGUUGCGGGCAUUUGUAUUCGUAAGCAUUUUGUUAAGCACGCUAAAAAUCACCACACUGGGUGUUUGGCAUUCUUAGAGAAAUUCUAUAAACAUAUUUUUGAGUUUCUCCAAAUUUCGGCUGAAAAAUGAAGAAUUAUUCAAAUAAUGUGUUUUUCUCCUGAUUAUUUCUCAUCUUUGUGUUGAAAAAUGCUGAGAUAUUUAUAACAUUUUAUUUAAGGCUGAGUCAAAUUUACGCAGUCUCUGAGUUGAUGUUUUCAAGCGUGCAUUUGUCAUGAUUGUUUUGCUAGUGAAAAGAAAAGAAAAGAAAAAAACGGUCAGUGGCCAGAAAGUAUACUUUUCCCGGAAUAUAUUCCGGAUUUGAGCUGCGGUCUAUGUAAUAAAGCGAUUAUUUGCCCCAGCAGUGCCGGAACCUCUUCGUGGGAAUCCGCUUUCAGUACCGAAAGAUCGAAUUCUAUCGUAAUCCAUUGGAUUUCUUUUUCAACGAUCAUGGAAAACGGGAAGCAAUAUUUGGAUAGCUGCAAAAUAUAUUCGCAACAGGAGGAUGAAUCCAGCCGUUCUAUAAGGAGUUUGGUAGAGAAAACUACGUUCGAUUGCACCUUGGUAUUCCUUCACCAUACACAAAGACUCUGUGUGUCUCCGCUACGAUGUGUUUUGAUACAAAAUAUUAAGCAAUAAUUGGAAUGUGAAGUUGUAAAGGCGUUUCAGUAUAAUGAAUAAAUAGAUUGUGAAUUUA